rnacentral:rRNA from 1 species
AAAUGGAUGACACAUGUCAUUUAUUUGAAAGGGGCAAUUGCUCCACUACAAGAUGGACCUGCGUUGUAUUAGCUAGUAGGUGAGGUAAUGGCUCACCUAGGCGACGAUACAUAGCCGACCUGAGAGGGUGAUCGGCCACACUGGGACUGAGACACGGCCCAGACUCCUACGGGAGGCAGCAGUAGGGAAUCUUCGGCAAUGGGGGCAACCCUGACCGAGCAACGCCGCGUGAGUGAAGAAGGUUUUCGGAUCGUAAAGCUCUGUUGUAAGUCAAGAACGGGUGUGAGAGUGGAAAGUUCACACUGUGACGGUAGCUUACCAGAAAGGGACGGCUAACUACGUGCCAGCAGCCGCGGUAAUACGUAGGUCCCGAGCGUUGUCCGGAUUUAUUGGGCGUAAAGCGAGCGCAGGCGGUUUGAUAAGUCUGAAGUUAAAGGCUGUGGCUCAACCAUAGUUCGCUUUGGAAACUGUCAAACUUGAGUGCAGAAGGGGAGAGUGGAAUUCCAUGUGUAGCGGUGAAAUGCGUAGAUAUAUGGAGGAACACCGGUGGCGAAAGCGGCUCUCUGGUCUGUAACUGACGCUGAGGCUCGAAAGCGUGGGAAGCGAACAGGAUUAGAUACCCUGGUAGUCCACGCCGUAAACGAUGAGUGCUAGGUGUUGGAUCCUUUCCGGGAUUCAGUGCCGCAGCUAACGCAUUAAGCACUCCGCCUGGGGAGUACGACCGCAAGGUUGAAACUCAAAGGAAUUGACGGGGGCCCGCACAAGCGGUGGAGCAUGUGGUUUAAUUCGAAGCAACGCGAAGAACCUUACCAGGUCUUGACAUCCCGAUGCUAUUUCUAGAGAUAGAAAGUUACUUCGGUACAUCGGUGACAGGUGGUGCAUGGUUGUCGUCAGCUCGUGUCGUGAGAUGUUGGGUUAAGUCCCGCAACGAGCGCAACCCCUAUUGUUAGUUGCCAUCAUUCAGUUGGGCACUCUAGCGAGACUGCCGGUAAUAAACCGGAGGAAGGUGGGGAUGACGUCAAAUCAUCAUGUCCCUUAUGACCUGGGCUACACACGUGCUACAAUGGUUGGUACAACGAGUUGCGAGUCGGUGACGGCGAGCUAAUCUCUUAAAGCCAAUCUCAGUUCGGAUUGUAGGCUGCAACUCGCCUACAUGAAGUCGGAAUCGCUAGUAAUCGCGGAUCAGCACGCCGCGGUGAAUACGUUCCCGGGCCUUGUACACACCGCCCGUCACACCACGAGAGUUUGUAACACCCGAAGUCGGUGAGGUAACCUUUUGGAGCCAGCCGCCUAAGGUGGGACAGAUGAUUGGGGUGAAGUCGUAACAAGGUA